GGCAGCCUGUGUGCUUGGUGAUGGUCCGUGUUUAGUGUUUCUGUUUGUCUGCGUCUUGCAGUCUGACAGCAGCGCUCACACAAUGCCAGCAGCCAAAGAAAAACCUGAGAUCUUAGUACUGGUCUAGUGAAGUCUGACAAAUUCUCAGACAUAA